rnacentral:rRNA from 1 species
GACGAGGGGUCCAAGCGUUGUUCGGAAUCAUUGGGCGUAAAGGGCUCGUAGGCGGCCAACUAAGUCAGACGUGAAAUCCCUCGGCUUAACCGGGGAACUGCGUCUGAUACUGGAUGGCUUGAGUGUGGGAGAGGGAUGCGGAAUUCCAGGUGUAGCGGUGAAAUGCGUAGAUAUCUGGAGGAACACCGGUGGCGAAGGCGGCAUCCUGGACCAUGACUGACGCUGAGUGAGCGAAAGCCAGGGGAGCAAACGGG